UACAGAGGAGCCAAGCGUUGUCCGGAUUGACUGGGCGUAAAGCGCACGCAGGCGGAUGCGCGCGUGGGGUGUGAAAUCUGGCCGCUUAACGGCCAGGCGCCAUCCCAUACGGCGCGUCUGGAGUGAUGCAGAGGUCGAUGGAAUUGCCGGUGUAGUGGUGAAAUGCGUAGAGAUCGGCAGGAACACCCAGGGGGAAACCAGCCGACUGGGCAUCUACUGACGCUGAGGUGCGAGAGCGUGGGGAGCGAACCGG
rnacentral:rRNA from 1 species